ACCGCUCCCCGCCUCUCUCCGCUGCCCGCGGGCGCCCGGGUGAGGCUUGGCGAAGCUCCCCGCCCGAUCAGAGGCCGCGGGGAGGAGCCGGGCGGACCCCUCCUCGGCGGCGCCGCGCACCGAGACAACAUGGUGGCGGCCGCGAGAUGAGGGGCAGCUCCACAUCGGGGCGGCCUUCGGGCUGCCUUCCCCCUGCUUGACGCCGUUCAGGGCAUGCAAGAGUGUGCAGGAGGAUGGGCAAAAAGAGGAGCAAGGGCCUCCUGUAUGUGAAGGCUGUCUCCUGGAUCUCAAGGUGGAUUGCUCUUUGUCUCCAAAAGCAGCAGGGCUCCCAGUCAUGUGAGCUUAUUCUUUCUCCAGGAUGAGUGUGGAUGUGAAGCUUAUACGGGUACAUCCUUCUUUCAAGCUAAUUACAUCACAACAAGUGCUUUGGCUCCAAUCCUACACAGCCCUGCCCAGAGCCUGAACCAGCCUGCUGCUUCUCCUGGGAGCCUGCCACAGAGGUUACCUCCCUGUGAGAUCCUGGCAUGCUCCCAGUCCUCUGCAGUCCAGGCUUCUUCCAAGUUCACAUACCCAGAACUCACUGCUGUGGCUGUGCCUGAUGUCUCUACAUUAGUUCACCUGGUUUUUGCCUUGGGGAAAGGAGCAUGUCCAGUCUCUUUUAAAAUAAACAUUGCUGAAAUCCAAGAUUCAACUACAUAUUACAACUCCUUUGUGGCUAAUAAAUAAUGAAAACCUGUGUUCAACUCCUA